rnacentral:rRNA from 1 species
GUAGUCCACGCUGUAAACGAUGAAUGCUAGUUGUUGGGAACUUAGUUCUCAGUGACGAAGCUAACGCAUUAAGCAUUCCGCCUGGGGAGUACGGCCGCAAGGUUAAAACUCAAAGAAAUUGACGGGGACCCGCACAAGCGGUGGAGCAUGUGGUUUAAUUCGAGGCAACGCGAAGAACCUUACCAGGCCUUGACAUGUCCUUUUUGGGAACCAGAGAUGGAUCCCUUCACUUCGGGUGGGAGGAACACAGGUGCUGCAUGGCUGUCGUCAGCUCGUGUCGUGAGAUGUUGGGUUAAGUCCCGCAACGAGCGCAACCCUCGUCCUUAGUUGCCAUCAUUUAGUUGGGAACUCUAAGGAAACUGCCGGUGAUAAGCUGGA